AUGUUGUAUGGAUGGAAGAAGGUUACUACUUCCAUGACAAAGAUGGAAGAGGUCCUCCUUGGCUUUCACUGCACAUACCGUAUACAGUUAAAGGGGUUGUAAAGGUUUGUUUUUU